rnacentral:rRNA from 1 species
CUACGGGCCGCAGCAGUCAAGAAUCUUCCUCAAUGGCCGAAAGGCUGAAGGAGCGACGCCGCGUGUAUGAAGACGCCCUUCGGGGUGUAAAAUACUUUUCUAUGGGAAGAAACAAUGACGGUACCAUAGGAAUAAGGGGCUGCUAACCUCGUGCCAGCAGCAGCGGUAAUACGAGGGCCCCGAGCGUUAUCCGGAUUUAUUGGGCGUAAAGAGUCUGUAGGCGGUUUUUCGCAUCUCCUGUUAAAGCUCAAGGCUCAACCUUGAGGCCGCGGGAGAGAUGGAUAAACUAGAGACCGGAAGAGGCAAGCGGAAUUGCUGGUGUAGGGGUUAAAUCCGUUAAUAUCAGCAGGAACACCAAAUGCGUAGGCAGCUUGCUAGGACGGUUCUGACGCUGAGGGACGAAAGCGUGGGGAGCGAAUGGGAUUAGAUACCCUCGUAGUC